rnacentral:rRNA from 1 species
AGUGAACGCUGGCGGUAGGCCUAACACAUGCAAGUCGAACGGCAGCACAGUAAGAGCUUGCUCUUACGGGUGGCGAGUGGCGGACGGGUGGGGAAUACAUCGGAAUCUACUUUUUCGUGGGGGAUAACGUAGGGAAACUUACGCUAAUACCACAUACGACCUACGGGUGAAAGCAGGGGAUCUUCGGACCUUGCGCGAUUGAAUGAGCCGAUGUCGGAUUAGCUAGUUGGCGGGGUAAAGGCCCACCAAGGCGACGAUCCGUAGCUGGUCUGAGAGGAUGAUCAGCCACACUGGAACUGAGACACGGUCCAGACUCCUACGGGAGGCAGCAGUGGGGAAUAUUGGACAAUGGGCGCAAGCCUGAUCCAGCCAUACCGCGUGGGUGAAGAAGGCCUUCGGGUUGUAAAGCCCUUUUGUUGGGAAAGAAAAGCAGCAGGUUAAUACCCCGCUGUUCUGACGGUACCCAAAGAAUAAGCACCGGCUAACUUCGUG